rnacentral:rRNA from 1 species
AACGAACGCUGGCGGCAUGCCUAACACAUGCAAGUCGAACGAGACCCCUGACUUCGGUUGGCGGGUCUAGUGGCGCACGGGUGCGUAACGCGUGGGAAUCUGCCCUUGGGUUCGGAAUAACUCAGAGAAAUUUGAGCUAAUACCGGAUGAUGACGAAAGUCCAAAGAUUUAUCGCCCAGGGAUGAGCCCGCGUAAGAUUAGCUUGUUGGUGGGGUAAUGGCCUACCAAGGCGACGAUCUUUAGCUGGUCUGAGAGGAUGAUCAGCCACACUGGGACUGAGACACGGCCCAGACUCCUACGGGAGGCAGCAGUGGGGAAUAUUGGACAAUGGGCGCAAGCCUGAUCCAGCAAUGCCGCGUGAGUGAUGAAGGCCUUAGGGUUGUAAAGCUCUUUUACCAGGGAUGAUAAUGACAGUAACCUGGAGAAUAAGCUCCGGCUAACUCCGUG